GCUGCUGGUUUGUCUCCCCGUUGGCAUUCUGGGUUGGAGAGGAGGAGGAGGAGCUGCCGGGGCAACCGAGUUGGAGUUUGGUGAAGUCUAGCAAGCUCCAUCCUUCCGUUGCCACAGUGUCUUUCCCUGGGAGCUCACUCUCCUGGGGUGUCACCGUGCUGACAUUCUGGAUUGGAGGGGAGGAGGAGCUGCCGAGGCUACUGAGGAGGAAUGGGAUGAAGUGGAUCAGACGGGAUUGGGCUGAGCUUGGUCCUUCCAUUGCCAGUGUGUGUGAGGAGGAGAUGCUCUUUUAGGGUUUCAUGGUAACGAAAGCUUCGGCCCUUUAAAUAGAUGAUUUGGAGUAUGAGAGAGAGAGAGAGAGAGAGAGAGAGAGAGAGAGAGAGAGAGAGAACAAUUAGGUGCAGCUCUGAUUCGACCAGUCGCAAUCGCAAGAGAGGGAGAAAGAGAGGGAGACAGAGAGACAGAGACAGAUUGUGAGAGAACAAUUACGUGCAGCUCUGAUUCGACCAGUCGCAAUCGCAAGAGAGGGAGAAAGAGAGGAAGACAGAGAGAGGGCUUCUCCUUUGGGGUACUUUUUUUUUUUUUUUGGUCAGAAGUCUUUUGGGGUACUUGAAGAUCGAAUUAUUUGGGGUGGCACGGCGAGGUCGACACAUGGGGCAAUGACGAAUGAUAUGGGUGCUUCUUUCUGUACUGGCGAGUGAUUUUUGGAGUUCGUCUUUUUGGGUGAGCGGGGAGAGAACGCAGGUGGAAGCCGCUGCUCACGUGUCGCUCUCGCUUGUGUGUGUAUAUAAUAUAUAUAAUCCUUUUCUAUUAAUUAUUCUCAGAUAUAAUCAUCAGUACUCUCCUAAACAUUAUUUUC
rnacentral:lncRNA from 1 species